rnacentral:rRNA from 1 species
UACAGAGACUGCAAGCGUUUAUUCGGAUUCACUGGGCGUAAAGGGUGCGCAGGCGGUUGGGUGUGUCAGAUGUGAAAUCCCGAGGCUUAACCUCGGAACUGCGUCUGAAACUACUCGACUAGAGUACUGGAGAGGGAAACGGAAUUCACGGUGUAGCAGUGAAAUGCGUAGAUAUCGUGAGGAACACCAGAGGCGAAGGCGGUUUCCUGGACAGUUACUGACGCUCAGGCACAAAGCGUGGGUAGCAAACAGG